rnacentral:tRNA from 1 species
CUUAGAAAGUGGUGUAGAGGAAGCACCAGGAGUUUUGAUCUCCUGAGGAUGGGUUCAAAUCCCUUCUUUCUAG